rnacentral:rRNA from 1 species
GACGAACGCUGGCGGCGUGCUUAACACAUGCAAGUCGAACGAUGAAGCCGGAGCUUGCUCUGGUGGAUUAGUGGCGAACGGGUGAGUAACACGUGAGUAACCUGCCCUUGACUCUGGGAUAAGCGUUGGAAACGACGUCUAAUACCGGAUACGAGCUAGGACCGCAUGGUCACUAGCUGGAAAGAACUUCGGUCAAGGAUGGACUCGCGGCCUAUCAGCUAGUUGGUGAGGUAACGGCUCACCAAGGCGACGACGGGUAGCCGGCCUGAGAGGGUGACCGGCCACACUGGGACUGAGACACGGCCCAGACUCCUACGGGAGGCAGCAGUGGGGAAUAUUGCACAAUGGGCGCAAACCUGAUGCAGCAACGCCGCGUGAGGGACGACGGCCUUCGGGUUGUAAACCUCUUUUAGCAGGGAAGAAGCGAAAGUGACGGUACCUGCAGAAAAAGCACCGGCUAACUACGUGCCAGCAGCCGCGGUAAGAU